GGAAGGGACGGGGUCUGGUGGCCCCACUGGUCUUCAAAACCAGUUGCGGGCAGAUAAAACUGUCCGUGGUGGGUUCGAUUCCUACCCCUUCCGCCA
rnacentral:tRNA from 1 species